rnacentral:tRNA from 1 species
GGGUUGUAGCUCAGUGGUGGAGUGCUUGCCUAGUACAUGUGAGGCCCUGGGUUCAAUCCCCAGCCCUA